UACAGAGGUCUCAAGCGUUGUUCGGAUUCAUUGGGCGUAAAGGGUGCGUAGGUGGCGCCGUAAGUCAGAUGUGAAAUUCCGGAGCUCAACUCCGGAACUGCAUUUGAUACUGCGGUGCUCGAGGACUGGAGAGGAGACUGGAAUUCCCGGUGUAGCGGUGAAAUGCGCAGAUAUCGGGAGGAACACCAGUAGCGAAGGCGGUUCUCUGGGCCGGUACUGACGCUGAGGAGCGAAAGCGUGGGGAGCAAACAGG
rnacentral:rRNA from 1 species